ACGGAAGACACCUCUCUUUCAAUCUUCCAUUUGAACACACGAAACUCCACUGUCACCUCCACAUCUCCCGUAAGAAUCCCCCUCCAUGAACUCGCUGCAUAUUCUUCAUUUGUCUCCUCUCUUCCUUCUCCACCACCAUCAUUAGAUAACCAGAGCACCACCGCCGAAUCGUUGCCCUCUAGAACCAUGACCUUGCCUCACCUCACAAACUUGCAAUUUUUUCGGUUGUGAACAGAUCGGGAAAGAACCGACUAUAUAACAUCUCACAGACGUUCACCCAUUCUCCUCUUUCUACUGCACUGUUAGGAGCCAAAGAGGUCUUCCAUUUACUGCUAGCCCAGGUAAACCAAAUAUGUCAAAACCCUAGACAAAGGAAAAUAUCGAUUUGUUCAUCAUUUUUGCUUAACAAGACUUUUAGCUGUUUUGGUUGAUAAUUUGCUUUUCGUACUUAGAAGAUGACGUGGAUAUGGAUUUCAUGUUCAUCUCGAAUCCAUGAAGAUCAAAGUUCAAAAAGUUAAAAUCUAUGAAAAAGAAAGAAUAUUGGAGUACUGUGCUUCUAAUCAGGGAACCGGUGGUACAGGAUUUGAAUAGAGACGAGUAGGCAACCGAUUUUCUUCGUUCUCAUGUAUUCCUUCUUUCCCCCCACCUUACACUCUCUUAUCUCACGCUCACUACCAUUGGUGUGCUUCUCACUAUCUAUUUUGUAUUUAGAAACCCUCACCACCAAAACACCGCACCAUUUCCAGCGCCAUCACAAUAUUCUGUUUCCCUUCCCCCUCUCUUUCAGAUAAACCCUAAAUAUAACUGGGCACAUUUCCGCACCGGCUACCAGUACCACUAUUUCUUCUCUUCUUUUCGCAGUGCACUUUCCUUUUUCAUAGAUCACUUUAUUUUUCUUUCUACAAACUAACACACACAUGAACCGCCUAUUUCCAAUAUUUCUCAUAUCGAUAUCAUUUAUUCUGACAUCCAAUGGCUCAAGAACUUACCACUCACCACCGUCGUCAUGAACUUUGCCACAUUCAAGCACCAUUUUUUUGACCCUUUUUUCUAAUCUUUCUCUACAUAAGCUUUAAUUUCAUUUAACAAGUAUCAUACGCAGGUACAUGAAGAAUCAUAAAUCAAAACUUAAAAUUGUAAUGUGAAAUUGGGGGAAAGGGGAUCUACGUUGAUCAAGUUCAGUAUGUACUUGGUAAGGAGAUGGGUGGAGCAGAGUUUGGAAUUACAUAUAUGUGUACCGAUAAAUCUACCUGUAAAGUAUUGCCUGUAAAUCAAUUUCAAAAAAGAAGCUUAGAACAAGGGCGCAUAUUGAAGAUGUAAGGAAGUAAGUUGGGAUUAUGAAACAUAUGCCAGUAAUGCCACCACAUCAGAAUAUUGGGGGCUUAAAAGACACUUAUGAAGAUGAUAAUGUUGUUCCUUUCGUUAUGGAAUUAUAUGAAGGUGAGAUAUGAUCGUUACUAGGGCCAUUAAAUAGAGAGGGCUAUUGAAGACAUGAUUCACACCAAUGUUGAAGUGAUUAAGCCUACUUAUGGAGCACAAGUUGAGAAAGUAAUACUUUUACCAAUGAUACUAUAUUUAAUAUUUCUAAAACUAGGGUUAAAUACAAGAAAUAACAAUUGACUUUCAUUGAUUUGUUAAUAUAUCUAUUGUAAAACAUAUACAUACGUUUAAAUAAGUUGUGCAGAGGUGACCAAAUGUAUA